GUCGAGAAUCUUUCACAAUGGGGGCAACCCUGAUGGAGCGACGCCGCGUGGAGGAUAAGGUCUUCGGAUUGUAAACUCCUGUCAUGCGUGAACAAGGUUGCUUGGAUAAUACCUGAGCAAAUUGAUGGUAGCGCAAGAGGAAGAGACGGCUAACUCUGUGCCAGCAGCCGCGGUAAUACAGAGGUCUCAAGCGUUGUUCGGAAUCACUGGGCGUAAAGGGUGCGUAGGUGGCGUGGCAAGUCAGAUGUGAAAGCCCGGGGCUCAACCUCGGAACUGCAUCCGAUACUGCCAUGCUAGAGUACUGGAGGGGUGACUAGAAUUCUCGGUGUAGCAGUGAAAUGCGUAGAUAUCGAGAGGAAUACCAAAGGCGUAGGCAGGUCACUGGACAGUUACUGACACUGAGGCACGAAGGCCAGGGGAGCGAACGGGAUUAGAAACCCUGGUAGUCC
rnacentral:rRNA from 1 species